rnacentral:rRNA from 1 species
AUGAACGCUAGCUACAGCUUAACACAUGCAAGUCGAGGGGCAGCAUGGUCUUAGCUUGCUAAGGCCGAUGGCGACCGGCGCACGGGUGAGUAACACGUAUCCAACCUGCCGUCUACUCUUGGACAGCCUUCUGAAAGGAAGAUUAAUACAAGAUGGCAUCAUGAGUCCACAUGUUCACAUGAUUAAAGGUAUUCCGGUAGACGAUGGGGAUGCGUUCCAUUAGAUAGUAGGCGGGGUAACGGCCCACCUAGUCUUCGAUGGAUAGGGGUUCUGAGAGGAAGGUCCCCCACAUUGGAACUGAGACACGGUCCAAACUCCUACGGGAGGCAGCAGUGAGGAAUAUUGGUCAAUGGGCGAGAGCCUGAACCAGCCAAGUAGCGUGAAGGAUGACUGCCCUAUGGGUUGUAAACUUCUUUUAUAAAGGAAUAAAGUCGGGUAUGCAUACCCGUUUGCAUGUACUUUAUGAAUAAGGAUCGGCUAACUCCGUGCCAGCAGCCGCGGUAAUACGGAGGAUCCGAGCGUUAUCCGGAUUUAUUGGGUUUAAAGGGAGCGUAGAUGGAUGUUUAAGUCAGUUGUGAAAGUUUGCGGCUCAACCGUAAAAUUGCAGUUGAUACUGGAUAUCUUGAGUGCAGUUGAGGCAGGCGGAAUUCGUGGUGUAGCGGUGAAAUGCUUAGAUAUCACGAAGACUCCGAUUGCGAAGGCAGCCUGCUAA